GGCAGGAGAGGGAGGGGGCGGGAUGAAUCACCGCGGGGGGAGGGCGCGGCCGCCCAGCCUUUGCCGCAGCGGCACCGGCCUCUGGGGUGGCGCAGGGACCGCGGCUUCUGGGCACGGGCGCGCGGACGAGGUGUCUCCGAGCCCGCCGGACUCUGGCGACCCCCGUCUUCGUAGUCUGGGAAAGGUCACCCCCAGAGUCACAGAAGGACUUAGAGGGCAGUUUGGGGGCCGGACCUCCGACUUCAGACUAUAGAGGUCAUCUUCGCGAGUUUGAGGGAGGCUUGGCUGGGACCUCCAAGUGCUAGCCCCCUCCAAUCCCCGAUAUCCUAUCCGGGACGGAGGUCACCGUGCGGGGACCAAGCAGGCAUGGGAGGGGUCCAGGCUCUGGCUGCCGACGUACCCCAGACCCCACCCCGGCAGGUGGGCACCCUGGAGUCCAAGCCAGAGAGGCUGCUCUGGGGGAGUUUGGAGGCGCUGUUUCAGGGCGAGCCCCCCUCCGCGAUUCCCCCAGCACCCCUUUAUUUCUCUGACGUCACCUUCUACUUCUCUCCUCCCACUCCACUCUGGCUACCCGGGUCCCGGCAGCUCCCAGCGCAAGGAGCUCGUUCCUGCCUCAGGGCCUUGGUCCCUGCUCUUCCGUCUGGCUGGACCACCCUUCCGCCCCGUGCAGCUUGGACUCCAGUGUCACCUUCGUCAGGUCCCCUGUGUUCAUCCAGGGCAAACUGCCUCCCUCCCGCCUCACUUGACCUCCUUUACUCUUGUUUGGUUUUUUUUCUUUUUUUUUUUUUUCACAGCAGUGUCACUACCUGACAUCAUGUUCUUCCUUUACACAGUUUUUGCACUUCCUGUCCUUGCAACCCUGGCAUGUAAGAUCCCGCAGGGUGAGGACACCCGCCCGGGUACCACUGUCUCUAGCAGCUGGACCUGCGCCUGCCACCCUGUAGAUGGGGAAACUGAGGCUGGGAGAGGACCGCUCUCUUGCUCGGGGUCGUGCUGCUGGCCCUAGGUGGAUCUGAAAUCCUGCCCCAGCACCGGUGGCAGCUUGUCCUACCGGCAGGUUCCGCCGGAUGGAGAGUAGGGGUGGGAGUGACCCUUCCUGGGGGUCCUACCCUUCAGUUCUGGGUGGGGUGAAGCCCUAGAAUCGCCCUAGCCCAGCCCUGCUGGGCAGGAGGAACCAGGGUGUGGGGCAAGCCCAGGGCACAGUGGCAGGGAGCCAGGGACAUUGGACAUCUUUGUGGUCCGGGCGUCUAGGCCAGCACCUCCGGAGCUGUGAAAUUCCCCUGCAGAAAAUAACCCUCUCGCCGAUCCGGGCCCUUCCUCCGGUGGGGGAUGGGAGGUGGAGGCCUGGUGAGGACAGGCCUCAGCCCCGGACAGGAGGCACCUCCCAACAGCCCUACAAGCCGAUGUUCGCCGAGCACCUUCUAUGGGCUCAGUGCUGUUCCAGGUACUCUACUCUUAUUAGCUCAUUUAAUUCUUCCUACAAGAUGGAUAUUACCAUUAUGCCCGUGUUACAGGUAUGGGAAACUGAGGCUCAUGGAGGGUAACAUGCCAAGAUCACACAGCUGGAGGGUAGGAGAGGCUAGCUCUGCCCUGGGCCACUCGAGAUCCCCCUGCCUCCAUCCAACCCCUCCUCCAGUCCCCUGCCCCAAGCCAUCAGUUAAGACGAUUCCGACAGCCAGGUGUGUGGCAUGCAUGCCAAAGGUCUCUUCAGCCCUCGCUCACUCUGGGCCCAGCACUGGGUUUCAGAGAGACAGAUCUGGGUUCCACCUGGACUGGAGGAGACUCUGCCUCUAAGCCCAUUUCCUCUUCCGGAAAACAGGGGUCCAAGCAGCCUCAACCUGCAUGGGCUCUUGUGGGGUCUCGAAGGGGGUCAGGACCUUGCAUCUUAAUGCGGAGGCCCCAGCGGCCAGGCCCGGAGUCUUUCAGGCGCGUGAAUCUUUAUUCGUCUCCACCUCGUGAAGCCACCGUGAGAAUAAAAUGCACAUCCGAUCUUGGCACAGA